rnacentral:rRNA from 1 species
AUUACCGAGUUCAUGCCCUUACGGGUAGAUCUCCCACCCUUUGUAUACUAUACCUUUGUUGCUUUGGCGGGCCGCCUAGCUACUGGCUUCGGCUGGUAUGUGCCCGCCAGAGGACCCAAAACCCUGAAUUAUUAGUGUCGUCUGAGUAAAAUAUUUAAUAUUUAAAACUUUCAACAACGGAUCUCUUGGCUCUGGCAUCGAUGAAGAACGCAGCGAAAUGCGAUAAGUAAUGUGAAUUGCAGAAUUCAGUGAAUCAUCGAAUCUUUGAACGCACAUUGCGCCCCUUGGUAUUCCGAGGGGCAUGCCUAUUCGAGCGUCAUUAUCACCCCUCAAGCCUAGCUUGGUGUUGAGGCCUGCUGUCAAGGCAGCCUCUAAAAUCAGUGGCAGUGCUGUCAGGCUCUAAGCGUAGUAAAUCUAAUCGCUAUAGACACCUGGUGGACACUCGCCAGAACCCCCCCAUUUUUUAAUGAUUGACCUCGGAUUAGGUAGGGAUACCCGCUGAACUUAAGCAUAUCA